AAUCCAUAGGUUAAUGAGGCGAACCGGGGGAACUGAAACAUCUAAGUACCCCGAGGAAAAGAAAUCAACCGAGAUUCCCCCAGUAGCGGCGAGCGAACGGGGAGGAGCCCAGAGCCUGAAUCAGCAUGUGUGUUAGUGGAAGCGUCUGGAAAGGCGCGCGAUACAGGGUGACAGCCCCGUACACAAAAGCGCAUGUGCUGUGAGCUCGAUGAGUAGGGCGGGACACGUGGUAUCCUGUCUGAAUAUGGGGGGACCAUCCUCCAAGGCUAAAUACUCCUGACUGACCGAUAGUGAACCAGUACCGUGAGGGAAAGGCGAAAAGAACCCCGGCGAGGGGAGUGAAAAAGAACCUGAAACCGUGUACGUACAAGCAGUGGGAGCCCCACCACCAAAGCGUUUCGCUUUGUGUGGUGCACAAAGAAGCGUAACGACAGCACUGAAUGACGGUUAACGGAGCGCAAGCGACGUUCAACAUACAAAGUCAAGCAGUGGAGCGCUUUGGGGUGGGGUGAC
rnacentral:rRNA from 1 species